CAGUUUGAAUCGCGGUCCGACGGAGGAGUGGGCGCCGGGAUCUCGCUGCGCGUCCGCCUGGCCUCGACUCUUUCUCGCUUAUCCGAUCUUCAUCACGGUCCGAGAUGGCUGGCGGUAAGGCUGGAAAAGACUCCGGAAAGGCCAAGACAAAGGCGGUUUCCCACUCGCAGCGAGCCGGCUUACUAUUCACCAACACCUGAAAUCUAGGACAACCAGCCACGGACAUGUGGGCGCCACCGCCGCUGUGUACAGCGGAGCCAUCCUGGAGUACCUCACUGCAGAGCUCGCUAUUCGUGGAGAUGAAGAAUUGGACUCUCUGAUCAAGGCUACAAUUGCUGGUGGUGGUGUCAUCCCGCACAUCCAUAAGUCUCUGAUUGGGAAGAAGGGACAACAGAAGACCGUCUAAGGAUGCCUGGAUUUCUUACUAUCUCAGGACUCUUGUUCUUAACAGCUGUCCAGUGUCAGUGAUUCCAGUGGACUGAUCUCUGUGAAAAACACAAUUUUGCCUUUUGUAAUUCUAUUUGAGCAAGUUGGAGGCUUAGUUAGCCUUCCAAACCAACCAAAUUUCUGCAUUCGAGUCUUAACCAUAUUUAAGUGUUACUGUGCCUUCAAAGAAGCUAUCGAUUCUGAAGUAGUGGGUUUUGAUUGAGUUAACUGUUUUUAAAAAACUUGUUUGGAUUUAAAUUGUGAUGCAGAAGUUAUAGUAAUAAACAUUUGGUUUUGUACAGACAUUAUUUCCACUCUGGUGGAUAAGCUCAAUAAAGGUCAUAUCCCAAACU